GUGGGGAAUAUUGGACAAUGGGCGAAAGCCUGAUCCAGCAAUGCCGCGUGAGUGAUGAAGGCCUUAGGGUUGUAAAGCUCUUUUGCCAGGGAUGAUAAUGACAGUACCUGGAGAAUAAGCUCCGGCUAACUCCGUGCCAGCAGCCGCGGUAAUACGGAGGGAGCUAGCGUUGUUCGGAAUUACUGGGCGUAAAGCGCGCGUAGGCGGCUUUGUAAGUUAGAGGUGAAAGCCCGGGGCUCAACCCCGGAACUGCCUUUAAAACUGCAUCGCUUGAAUCCGGGAGAGGUGAGUGGAAUUCCGAGUGUAGAGGUGAAAUUCGUAGAUAUUCGGAAGAACACCAGUGGCGAAGGCGGCUCACUGGACCGGCAUUGACGCUGAGGUGCGAAAGCGUGGGGAGCAAACAGG
rnacentral:rRNA from 1 species